AUACGGAGGGUGCAAGCGUUACUCGGAAUUACUGGGCGUAAAGCGCACGUAGGCGGAUUGGAAAGUUGGGGGUGAAAUCCCAGGGCUCAACCCUGGAACUGCCUCCAAAACUAACAGUCUAGAGUUCGAGAGAGGUGAGUGGAAUUCCAAGUGUAGAGGUGAAAUUCGUAGAUAUUUGGAGGAACACCAGUGGCGAAGGCGGCUCACUGGCUCGAUACUGACGCUGAGGUGCGAAAGCGUGGGGAGCAAACAGGAUUAGAAACCCCAGUAGUCC
rnacentral:rRNA from 1 species